rnacentral:rRNA from 1 species
GACGAACGCUGGCGGCGUGCUUAACACAUGCAAGUCGAACGGAAAUUCCCUGCUUCCGUGGGGUGCUCGAGUGGCGAACGGGUGUGUAACACGAGCGUAACCUGCACUCGACUUUGGGAUAACUUCAGGAAACUGGGGCUAAUACCGGAUAGGAGCUACUGCUGCAUGGCGAUGGUUGGAACGUUUCGGCGGUGUGGGAUGGACCUGCGGUUUAUCAGCUUGUUGGUGGGGUAGUGGCUUACCAAGGCUUUGACGGGUAGCCGGCCUGAGAAGGUGACCGGCCACAUUGGGACUGAGAUACGGCCCAGACUCCUACGGGAGGCAGCAGUGGGGAAUAUUGCACAAUGGGCGGAAGCCUGAGGCAGCAACGCCGCGUGCGGGAUGACGGCCUUCGGGUUGUAAACCGCUUUCGCCGGUGACGAAGCGGGAGUGACGGUAAUGGGUAAAGAAGCACCGGCUAACUACGUG